rnacentral:rRNA from 2 species
GUUGCAGGGUAUAGACCCGAAACCCGGUGAUCUAGCCAUGGGCAGGUUGAAGGUUGGGUAACACUAACUGGAGGACCGAACCGACUAAUGUUGAAAAAUUAGCGGAUGACCUGUGGCUGGGGGUGAAAGGCCAAUCAAACCGGGAGAUAGCUGGUUCUCCCCGAAAGCUAUUUAGGUAGCGCCUCGUGAAUUCAUCUCCGGGGGUAGAGCACUGUUUCGGCUAGGGGGCCAUCCCGGCUUACCAACCCGAUGCAAACUGCGAAUACCGGAGAAUGUUAUCACGGGAGACACACGGCGGGUGCUAACGUCCGUCGUGAAGAGGGAAACAACCCAGACCGCCAGCUAAGGUCCCAAAGUCAUGGUUAAGUGGGAAACGAUGUGGGAAGGCCCAGACAGCCAGGAUGUUGGCUUAGAAGCAGCCAUCAUUUAAAGAAAGCGUAAUAGCUCACUGGUCGAGUCGGCCUGCGCGGAAGAUGUAACGGGGCUAAACCAUGCACCGAAGCUGCGGCAGCGACGCUGAUGCGUUGUUGGGUAGGGGAGCGUUCUGUAAGCCUGCGAAGGUGUGUCGUGAGGCAUGCUGGAGGUAUCAGAAGUGCGAAUGCUGACAUAAGUAACGAUAAAGCGGGUGAAAAGCCCGCUCGCCGGAAGACCAAGGGUUCCUGUCCAACGUUAAUCGGGGCAGGGUGAGUCGACCCCUAAGGCGAGGCCGAAAGGCGUAGUCGAUGGGAAACGGGUUAAUAUUCCCGUACUUGGUGUUACUGCGAAGGGGGGACGGAGAAGGCUAUGUUGGCCGGGCGACGGUUGUCCCGGUUUAAGCGUGUAGGUGUGUGUUCCAGGUAAAUCCGGUUCACUUUAACACUGAGGCGUGAUGACGAGGCACUACGGUGCUGAAGCAACAAAUGCCCUGCUUCCAGGAAAAGCCUCUAAGCAUCAGGUAACAUCAAAUCGUACCCCAAACCGACACAGGUGGUCAGGUAGAGAAUACCAAGGCGCUUGAGAGAACUCGGGUGAAGGAACUAGGCAAAAUGGUGCCGUAACUUCGGGAGAAGGCACGCUGACACGUAGGUGAAGUGAUUUACUCAUGGAGCUGAAGUCAGUCGAAGAUACCAGCUGGCUGCAACUGUUUAUUAAAAACACAGCACUGUGCAAACACGAAAGUGGACGUAUACGGUGUGACGCCUGCCCGGUGCCGGAAGGUUAAUUGAUGGGGUCAGCGCAAGCGAAGCUCCUGAUCGAAGCCCCGGUAAACGGCGGCCGUAACUAUAACGGUCCUAAGGUAGCGAAAUUCCUUGUCGGGUAAGUUCCGACCUGCACGAAUGGCGUAAUGAUGGCCAGGCUGUCUCCACCCGAGACUCAGUGAAAUUGAACUCGCUGUGAAGAUGCAGUGUACCCGCGGCAAGACGGAAAGACCCCGUGAACCUUUACUAUAGCUUGACACUGAACAUUGAGCCUUGAUGUGUAGGAUAGGUGGGAGGCUUUGAAGUGUGGACGCCAGUCUGCAUGGAGCCGGCCUUGAAAUACCACCCUUUAAUGUUUGAUGUUCUAACGUGGACCCGUGAUCCGGGUUGCGGACAGUGUCUGGUGGGUAGUUUGACUGGGGCGGUCUCCUCCUAAAGAGUAACGGAGGAGCACGAAGGUUGGCUAAUCCUGGUCGGACAUCAGGAGGUUAGUGCAAUGGCAUAAGCCAGCUUGACUGCGAGCGUGACGGCGCGAGCAGGUGCGAAAGCAGGUCAUAGUGAUCCGGUGGUUCUGAAUGGAAGGGCCAUCGCUCAACGGAUAAAAGGUACUCCGGGGAUAACAGGCUGAUACCGCCCAAGAGUUCAUAUCGACGGCGGUGUUUGGCACCUCGAUGUCGGCUCAUCACAUCCUGGGGCUGAAGUAGGUCCCAAGGGUAUGGCUGUUCGCCAUUUAAAGUGGUACGCGAGCUGGGUUUAGAACGUCGUGAGACAGUUCGGUCCCUAUCUGCCGUGGGCGCUGGAGAACUGAGGGGGGCUGCUCCUAGUACGAGAGGACCGGAGUGGACGCAUCACUGGUGUUCGGGUUGUCAUGCCAAUGGCACUGCCCGGUAGCUAAAUGCGGAAGAGAUAAGUGCUGAAAGCAUCUAAGCACGAAACUUGCCCCGAGAUGAGUUCUCCCUGAGACUUAGAGUCUCCUGAAGGAACGUUGAAGACGACGACGUUGAUAGGCCGGGUGUGUAAGCGCAGCGAUGCGUUGAGCUAACCGGUACUAAUGAACCGUGAGGCUUAACCUUACAACGCCGAA